AUCUGCGUAAUUUUUUUUUUCUUUCUUGGAAUUCAUAACCAAAUUAACAUGCUUUGAUUUGAUUCCUAGCCUUAGGUAACUCUACAAGUAAUUGGGUGAGUUUUUUCUAUAAGAGAUGAUCCUUUCUAAUUUGGAAAGAACAUAAAUAGUGAUUCACUUUCUAUAAAUCUUCUGGACUUCUGCGUCAGGUGAUCUAAACUUUUACUGGAUUCGUGCUUAAUUUGAGAUGCCUAAAAAAGGGGUGCAUCCCUGAUUGAUUGCUGCUGUGAAGACUUUAGCUCUUAGUUUUUGUUCCUUGCUUCUUGAGGCAAAUGUGCUUAUAUAUUCUCUACUAGCUGGUAACAUGUAAGUUGCAUAUUGACAGUUAGUAGUUAAUAUUUUUUUCCCUGCAUGUCCUUAAGUUAUUAUUCUUAUCGUUUUUCUUUUCUCUUUUUCCCUAACUAGUCUGUCCACUUCAUGUACACCUUUUUAUUAUCUUUUGUCAUGUGUGUGUAUCAGAUCUUACAUCAGAAAUUAUUAGACUUAGAUAACAGCAAAACACUUUUGCUUUAAGUAGUCUGUCCACUUCAUGCCCCAUAUGAAAAGGCAGGCUAUUGUCAUUAACAAUGGCUUGAUUGAAACAGUUUUUUGUUUCCAAUACUUCCAUACACGAUGUAUACAAGAGAGGUUUGUACUCUAUUCUGGAUCUUAUUAUGGUGAAACUAUGGUGUUCAUAUUUUAUGGUCUUGGCUUUAUCCUUGUAUGGACUACUGAAGUCAGUUUCGCUCAUUAAUAUAAUGAAAAAUUAUUAUUUUUUUGAGAUAGUCCAACCUAAGAUUAUAGUCGUAUAUUUUCCAUUUUUAUGGAUUUCUUUUAUUUCAUUUUGUUUUUCUACAUAUUGCGUUAGGAACAAAAUAGUUCUUUAUCCAUGAGUUUUACCAAAGAAGAAAUAAAAAUAAAAAUCCGGUGUAACUGCCUAUAUAUGGAUGUUAGUGUUAAUAUUUAUUGUGUAAUAACUAUAUAAGUGUGUUAAAAUGAGUGCCAAGUGUGUAUUAAGGUAAGAAAUAAGUCUGUUAUAAGACAAGGGCCGUUUAGACAAUUCCGGAAAUUCCAAUUCCAGAAUUAACUGUUUCCUCUCUUGUAUAUAUCCUGUGCUGUGGCUGGAGACAGUAUUAUGGUCUGAAUUUGAUGUUAAUGAAAAAUACGUUUUUAUUCUAAAGAUCACAGGGUCCUCUCUAUCCAAUGAGGCCUGAUUCUCUACCUUAAAUUUUGAAAAGAUGGAACGGCAGAAAAAAAAAAAUGCAAAGGUACCUACUGAUUUAAUGUUAAUCGCCCUAUAAAAUGAUCCACCAGUCGGAAUCAUAAAGUACUGCCUUACACUUUCUUUCUUUUGUUAUUCGUUAGGUGGUGUUUUGUCAGGAUGUUCUAAUCACAUUAGCGUCAAUUUCUUCAAAUCUUGAAAAUAUCAUAUUCGAAAUUGAUUACAGUUGAUUAAAAAUAAAACUUAAACAUUUGUAACUAAAGCUUUGAUAGAGCAUUUCUAUGUUGAUUUAAUAUUCUGCAUACCUUUUGUUUGUCCUUUAUAGAUCCUUAAGAUGUUAGUGCUUAUAAUUUCUUUAAUCACUUUAUUUAUUGAUUUUCAUGAAACAACAAGGUCCUUUAGGAGCUGAUAUUUUUGUAUGAAAUUAGUUGAGGACCUUUGAAGUCUUGUGAACUUAUCAAGCUGGAACUGAUGCCAUGCUGGGAAAA